UAUGAAGAACGCAGCGAAAUGCGAUAAGUAGUGUGAAUUGCAGAAUUCAGUGAAUCAUCGAAUCUUUGAACGCACAUUGCGCCCCUUGGUAUCCCGAGGGGCAUGCCUGUUCGAGCGUCAUUUCACCACUCAAGCCUGGCUUGGUGUUGGGCGACGUCCCCUUUGGGGACGCGCCUCGAAACGCUCGGCGGCGUGGCACCGGCUUUAAGCGUAGCAGAAUCUUUCGCUUUGGAAGUCGGGGCCCCGUCUGCCGGAAGACCUACUCGCAAGGUUGACCUCGGAUCAGGCAGGGAUACCCGCUGAACUUAAGCAUAUCAAUAAGCGGAGGA
rnacentral:misc_RNA from 1 species